rnacentral:rRNA from 1 species
CCGCACACGCGCUACAAUAAAAGGCCGCAGCGUGUCUUCCUGACUCGAUAGAGUUGGGUAACCCUGGCAAUGUCUUUUGUGCUAGGGAUUGGGCUUUGAAAUUAUCGCCCAUGAACGAGGAAUUCCCAGUAAGUGCAAGUCAUAAGCUUGUGCUGACUACGU